GAGGCGCCUCCUCUACUCAGGCGUCUGCUCCCGGGACCCCCCGGCCGCGCGGGGGACGGACCGACUGACGUACCUCGCGCGCCCCCGUCCCCGCCCCAUGUUCCCCGAGCUCCCGGGGCUCGCGGGCUGAGGCGCCUCUCUCUCCUCGCCCCUCGCCGCGGCCCUUUCUCUCCCCAGCACCUCGGAGCCCCUCGGCCCGGCAGCGGCGGCGGCGGCGGCGGCGGGCACCCGAGCAGCGGCCAGCGGCCUCGAGGAUGAAGUGCAAGCCGAACCAGACGCGGACCUACGACCCGGAGGGGUUCAAGAAGCGGGCGGCGUGCCUGUGCUUCCGGAGCGAGCGCGAGGACGAGGUGCUGUUAGUGAGCAGCAGUCGGUACCCGGACCGCUGGAUCGUGCCGGGCGGGGGCAUGGAGCCCGAGGAGGAGCCGGGCGGUGCGGCCGUCCGCGAGGUGUACGAAGAGGCGGGAGUCAAGGGGAAGUUAGGCCGGCUCCUGGGCAUUUUCGAGCAGAACCAAGAUCGCAAGCACAGAACGUACGUGUAUGUACUGACUGUCACUGAGAUUCUGGAGGAUUGGGAAGAUUCGGUUAGCAUUGGGAGGAAGCGAGAGUGGUUCAAAAUCGAAGAUGCGAUCAAGGUUCUCCAGUGCCACAAGCCCGUGCAUGCCGAAUAUCUGCAAAAACUAAAGCUGGGCGGUUCCCCAACCAAUGGAAACUCCAUGGCCCCGUCCCUGCCAGAGAGCGAUCCCUAAUGAACAGCAAAGAUGUCCAGGAUUGCUUUGAAAGAACCAUUGAUGUGAACCAUUAAUGAAUGGAACUGUCAAGUAUAGGUACCAACAAAACAGCUGUUCAUAUGAGAGCUCUCUCAAAAUUCACCAACUUAGAAGUUUCUAAAAUUUAAAGGAUCCAUCAUCUGGCCUUUGACGAGUAUUAUCUUAAUAGUGACUCAAAC